GACGAUCGCUGGCGGCGUGCCUAACACAUGCAAGUCGAGCGGGGUCCAUCCGGUAGCAAUACCGGGGAAGACCUAGCGGCGAACGGGUGAGUAACACGUGAGAAACCCGCCCCGAAGUCUGGGAUAACCCGACGGAAACUCGAGCUAAUACCGGAUGUCUUCUUCUGAUCGCAUGGUCGGAUGAAGAAGAUUAUCGCUUCGGGAGGGUCUCGCGGCCUAUCAGCUAGUUGGCGGGGUAACGGCCCACCAAGGCGUCGACGGGUAGCUGGUCUGAGAGGACGAUCAGCCACACUGGGGACUGAGACACGGCCCAGACUCCUACGGGAGGCAGCAGUGGGGAAUAUUGCGCAAUGGGCGAAAGCCUGACGCAGCAACGCCGCGUGC
rnacentral:rRNA from 1 species